rnacentral:tRNA from 1 species
GUCUCAGUAGCUCAGUGGUUCAAGCACUGGUACGGUAUGUCAGUGGCCCUGGGUUUGACUCCCUGUUGAGACU